rnacentral:rRNA from 1 species
CAGGAUAGAAUACGGGGAGGAGGGUUGUAGAAAUACCAGGUGUAGAGUGAAAUCGUAGAGAUCUGUAGAUACGUGCGAAGGCGGCAACCUGGACCGAUAUUGACGCUGAGAUGCGAAAGCGUGGGGAGCGAACAGGAUUAGAUACCCUGGUAGUCCACGCGUAAACGAUGAAUACUAGGUACAGCGGGUAUCGACCCCUGCUGUGCCGUAGCUAACGCGUUAAGUAUUCCGCCUGGGGAGUACGGCCGCAAGGCUAAAACUCAAAGAAAUUGACGGGGGCCCGCACAAGCGGUGGAGCAUGUGGUUUAAUUCGAUGCAACGCGCAGAACCUCACCUGGGCUUGAAAUCCUCGGACCGCCAUAGAGAUAUGGUUUUCCUUCUUUGAAGGACUGAGUGACAGGUGCUGCAUGGCUGUCGUCAGCUCGUGUCGUGAGAUGUUGGGUUAAGUCCCGCAACGAGCGCAACCCUCGUUCUAUGUUGCCAGCGGGUCAUGCCGGGGACUCAUAGGAGACUGCCGGGGACAACUCGGAGGAAGGUGAGGACGACGUCAAGUCAUCAUGCCCCUUAUAUCCAGGGCUGCACGCAUGCUACAAUGGCCGGUACAACGGGCAGCGAUCCUGCGAAGGUGAGCGAAUCCCUCAAAGCCGGUCUCAGUUCGGAUUGAAGUCUGCAACUCGACUUCAUGAAGCCGGAGUCGCUAGUAAUCGUGGAUCAGCAAAGCCGCGGUGAAUACGUUCUCGGGGCUUGUACACACCGCCCGUCACAUCACGAAAGUUGGCAAUGCCCGUAGUCAGUGGUCUAACCCUUAUGGGAGGAAGCUGCCGAAGGUAGGGUCAGCGAUUGGGAUGAAGUCGUAACAAGGUAACCGUAA